rnacentral:rRNA from 1 species
GUAGGGAAUCUUCGGCAAUGGACGAAAGUCUGACCGAGCAACGCCGCGUGAGUGAAGAAGGUUUUCGGAUCGUAAAACUCUGUUGUUAGAGAAGAACGUUGUGUAGAGUGGAAAAUUACACAAGUGACGGUAUCUAACCAGAAAGGGACGGCUAACUACGUGCCAGCAGCCGCGGUAAUACGUAGGUCCCGAGCGUUGUCCGGAUUUAUUGGGCGUAAAGCGAGCGCAGGUGGUUUAAUAAGUCUGAUGUAAAAGGCAGUGGCUCAACCAUUGUGUGCAUUGGAAACUGUUAGACUUGAGUGCAGUAGAGGAGAGUGGAAUUCCAUGUGUAGCGGUGAAAUGCGUAGAUAUAUGGAGGAACACCGGUGGCGAAAGCGGCUCUCUGGACUGUAACUGACACUGAGGCUCGAAAGCGUGGGUAGCAAACAGGAUUAGAAACCCGGGUAGUCC